rnacentral:rRNA from 1 species
AGUUCCUGAUUCCACACUGCCAAGAAAAGCCUCUAGCGAGGGAAAAGGUGCCCGUACCGCAAACCGACACAGGUAGGCGAGGAGAGAAUCCUAAGGUGAGCGAGAGAACUCUCGUUAAGGAACUCGGCAAAAUGACCCCGUAACUUCGGGAGAAGGGGUGCUCAUUAGGGUGAAUAGCCCUGAUGAGCCGCAGUGAAUAGGCCCAGGCGACUGUUUAGCAAAAACACAGGUCUCUGCGAAGCCGCAAGGCGAAGUAUAGGGGCUGACGCCUGCCCGGUGCUGGAAGGUUAAGAGGAGAGGUUAGCGCAAGCGAAGCUUUGAAUCGAAGCCCCAGUAAACGGCGGCCGUAACUAUAACGGUCCUAAGGUAGCGAAAUUCCUUGUCGGGUAAGUUCCGACCCGCACGAAAGGCGUAACGAUCUGGGCACUGUCUCAACGAGAGACUCGGUGAAAUUAUAGUACCUGUGAAGAUGCAGGUUACCCGCGACAGGACGGAAAGACCCCGUGGAGCUUUACUGUAGCCUGAUAUUGAAUUUUGGUACAGCUUGUACAGGAUAGGUAGGAGCCUGAGAAGCCGGAGCGCCAGCUUCGGUGGAGGCGUCGGUGGGAUACUACCCUGGCUGUAUUGAAAUUCUAACCCGCGCCCCUUAUCGGGGCGGGAGACAGUGUCAGGUGGGCAGUUUGACUGGGGCGGUCGCCUCCUAAAAAGUAACGGAGGCGCCCAAAGGUUCCCUCAGAAUGGUUGGAAAUCAUUCGCAGAGUGUAAAGGCACAAGGGAGCUUGACUGCGAGACCUACAAGUCGAGCAGGGACGAAAGUCGGGCUUAGUGAUCCGGUGGUUCCGCAUGGAAGGGCCAUCGCUCAACGGAUAAAAGCUACCCCGGGGAUAACAGGCUUAUCUCCCCCAAGAGUCCACAUCGACGGGGAGGUUUGGCACCUCGAUGUCGGCUCAUCGCAUCCUGGGGCUGUAGUCGGUCCCAAGGGUUGGGCUGUUCGCCCAUUAAAGCGGUACGCGAGCUGGGUUCAGAACGUCGUGAGACAGUUCGGUCCCUAUCCGUCGUGGGCGCAGGAAAUUUGAGAGGAGCUGUCCUUAGUACGAGAGGACCGGGAUGGACGCACCGCUGGUGUACCAGUUGUCUUGCCAAAGGCAUCGCUGGGUAGCUAUGUGCGGAAGGGAUAAGUGCUGAAAGCAUCUAAGCAUGAAGCCCCCCUCGAGAUGAGAUUUCCCAUAGCGUCAAGCUAGUAAGAUCCCUGAAAGAUGAUCAGGUUGAUAGGUCAGAGGUGGAAGCGUGGCGACAUGUGGAGCUGACUGAUACUAAUCGA